UUCAAGAAGCUGAUGGGUGCCCUCUCCCCUCAGGAAGGGUGAAUUCACCUACACAGGUCUUCUCCACCAUGGCCUGGAGCUUGGGAUCUAGUAUCAGAGAUGAGCUUCUUUGAAAAGCCAGCCAAAAGGCAAAUGCUGCUACUCUCACUGUAUGUGUGAAAUUUUUGCACAGCUGCAGGCUUCAAGGGAGCCUCAAUGAGGGAGAAGAGCAGCAGGCCGGAUCCCAAACUCUCCAGAAACUUCAGGACACGCGGCUCUCAGUGCUGAACUGAAGACCCUCUCCAAGGACCAUGGAGCCAGCUAAGGGAUGAGUGGGGCUCUGCGUGCAGCCAAGCUUCCUCGGAUGACAUCGCUGUUACCCAGAUGGCAUUAAACAGUUACGCUCUGCUUCAAGGGAACUCUGAAUCGCAGAUGCCCCGGGUGUGUUGAAAAUCCACCGAAACAGCUUGGAAACUCCCAACAUACCCACUCAUGACCAACUUAAAGGAAUAUGAGGAGCGACAACUCAGCUGCCAAUUUGCCUUGUCCCAGACUCACACGUCUGUCGGAUGAACAGGAUAUGGGCCACAUUUCCCCAGCUGGACAUCUGGGCCUUGCAGCUGCCACCAGGACCCCAUGUGGCUAGGAAUGUCAGCUUAAAUCUGAGACCGAGUCAAGGAAAGGAGAAAUGGCAGGAGCCUGUGUGGUACCUGAACAUCCCAUGUGAACACUUUCACCUUGUACCUUUGUCAAAUCUCCAAGGAUAAAAUAUACACCAGAGGCAUCACCACGUCACAAAAUACCAAAUCACCAUGUCUGGUAAGCGAACAACAAAAUCUUGCCCCUGUGGCACUGAAUACGUGGCUCUAUCCAAUUGUAAGGCCACUGGUUCCCACUGAAACUUAAAAUCUAAGCAAGGAAAAAAUGAUUUGGGGCCUGAUUAUGUCUCAGGCCCUUUCUUUUUCUGCACAGGGACAGUGACAGGCGGGCAAGAUUGAACAUGGCAAAGCAGAAUGAUGCAGGCUCUUGAACUUCAGCUGACAAUUACUGUAGCAUUCUCCUCCAAGAUAAGGACUUCUCAGGGGACUCUCAUGCAUUUAAGUCUCAAAACAAUAGAGAAAUCCAGAAAGCUCUAGAAAGUAACAAUGGAAGAGUCCUCAACAGCAACACUGUCCACAGAUGUUAGAACGAGGGAGAUGCCAUUUCCUGCCACCUGGAUUAGAUAUCUAAAGAGCACCUACCAAGCCUGUCACUGAUGACGUUAUGCAGAGCGUAAGCCAUGACUUGAAAGCAGUCAAGGGGAUGGCUUCACUCCACAGCAGGAUGGAACUUCUAUCUUAGGUGUAAUGGUAACUGUGGAAAGUCAAAACCACGAGUCCAUUCGAGUUCCAAUAAUAAACAAAAUGUAUGUGCGAUGAAUGCAA